rnacentral:rRNA from 1 species
AGUGUUCCUAUCAUGCAAGGUCGAACGAGUUCUCGCUUGAUGAUCGGUGCUUGCACCGAGAUUCAACAUGGAACGAGCUGGCGGACGGGUGAGUAACACGUGGGUAACCUGCCCUUAAGUGGGGGAUAACAUUUGGAAACAGAUGCUAAUACCGCGUGUGAGACGAUGUGUUUUAUAGAUCCAAGAACCGCAUGGUUCUUGGCUGAAAGAUGGCGUAAGCUAUCGCUUUUGGAUGGACCCGCGGCGUAUUAGCUAGUUGGUGAGGUAAUGGCUCACCAAGGCGAUGAUACGUAGCCGAACUGACAGGUUGAUCGGCCACAUUGNGACUGAGACACGGCCCAAACUCCUACGGGAGGCAGCA